AUACGGAGGAUGCAAGCGUUAUCCGGAUUUAUUGGGUUUAAAGGGUGCGUAGGCGGGACUGUAAGUCAGGGGUGAAAUACUGCAGCUUAACUGUAGCAUUGCCUUUGAAGCUGCCGUUCUUGAGUACAGUUGAGGUAGGCGGAAUGUGGUGUGUAGCGGUGAAAUGCAUAGAUAUACCACAGAACGCCGAUUGCGAAGGCAGCUUACUAAGCUGUUACUGACGCUGAGGCACGAAAGCGUGGGGAUCAAACAGGAUUAGAUACCCUGGUAGUCCACGCUGUAAACGAUGAUUACUGGUUGUUAGCGAUAUAUAGCUAGUGACUGAGCGAAAGCAUUAAGUAAUCCACCUGGGGAGUACGUCGGCAACGAUGAAACUCAAAGGAAUUGACGGGG
rnacentral:rRNA from 1 species